GCAAACUUGGUCAUUUAGAGGAAGUAAAAGUCGUAACAAGGUCUCCGUUGGUGAACCAGCGGAGGGAUCAUUACCGAGUUUACAACUCCCAAACCCAAUGUGAACGUUACCAAACUGUUGCCUCGGCGGGAUCUCUGCCCCGGGUGCGUCGCAGCCCCGGACCAAGGCGCCCGCCGGAGGACCAACCAAAACUCUUUUGUAUACCCCCUCGCGGGUUUUUUAUAUCUGAGCCAUCUCGGCGCCUCUCGUAGGCGUUUCGAAAAUGAAUCAAAACUUUCAACAACGGAUCUCUUGGUUCUGGCAUCGAUGAAGAACGCAGC
rnacentral:misc_RNA from 1 species